rnacentral:rRNA from 1 species
GGAGGGGGCUAGCGUUGUUCGGAAUUAUUGGGCGUAAAGGGCGCGUAGGCGGCCCGGCAAGUCAGUCGUGAAAAGCCCUCGGGCUCAACCGAGGGAAUUGCGAUUGAAACUGCCGGGCUUGAGUCCUGGAGAGGGCAGCGGAAUUCCCAGUGUAGCGGUGAAAUGCGUAGAUAUUGGGAGGAACACCUGUGGCGAAGGCGGCUACCUGGACAGGUACUGACGCUGAGGCGCGAAAGCGUGGGGAGCAAACAGGAUUAGAUACCCUGGUAGUCCACGCUGUAAACGAUGGGCACUUGGUGUUGCGGGUAUCGACCCCUGCAGUGCCGAAGCUAACGCAUUAAGUGCCCCGCCUGGGGAGUACGGUCGCAAAGGCUG